UACGUAGGGUGCGAGCGUUAAUCGGAAUUACUGGGCGUAAAGCGUGCGCAGGCGGUCUGUUAAGACCGAUGUGAAAUCCCCGGGCUUAACCUGGGAACUGCAUUGGUGACUGGCAGGCUUGAGUGUGGCAGAGGGGGGUGGAAUUCCACGUGUAGCAGUGAAAUGCGUAGAGAUGUGGAGGAACACCGAUGGCGAAGGCAGCCCCCUGGGCUAACACUGACGCUCAUGCACGAAAGCGUGGGGAGCAAACAGG
rnacentral:rRNA from 1 species